AAUGAACGUUGGCGGCGUGGAUUAGGCAUGCAAGUCGUGCGGCAGCAGGCCCCGCAAGGGGCGCUGGCGAGCGGCGAAAGGGAUAGUAAUGUGUGGAUACCUGCCCUGGGGACGGGGAUAGCUGCUGGAAACGGCAAUUAAUACCCGAUGAUGUCUCCGGACCAAAGGUGUGAUUCCGCCCUAGGAGGGGUUCACAUCCUAUUAGCUAGUUGGUGAGGUAACGGCUCACCAAGGCCACGAUGGGUAGCGGGUGUGAGAGCACGACCCGCAUCACUGGGACUGAGACACUGCCCAGACACCUACGGGUGGCUGCAGUCGAGGAUCUUCGGCAAUGAGCGAAAGCUUGACCGAGCGACGCCGCGUGCGGGAUGAAGGCCUUCGGGUUGUAAACCGCUUUCGGAGGGGAGGAAAUCUAGGGGGGAUCGCCCUUCUAGUUGACCUAUCCUAGGAAGAAGGACGGGCUAAGUUCGUGCCAGCCGCCGCCGUAAGAC
rnacentral:rRNA from 1 species